GCUUUAUAUUUAAUAAGAUUAAUUUUAUAUAUAAGGUGUAAAUUUAAUUUUUUAAAAAAUAUUACAUUGGGGCGAUGUAAAUUUAAUAGGUAGCAGUUGUUAAUUAGAAAUAAAUGGUAUUUAGAAAAGGAGAUCCUUUAUAAAGAUUAUAAGAAAAAGUU
rnacentral:rRNA from 1 species